rnacentral:misc_RNA from 1 species
AAACUCCCUCGAUUAACUCAACUCAACCACCUAAGUCAUUUCAAUCAGAUCAGCGGGCUGAAUCUCAAUAAAGUAGUUAUAUUUUUUUAUUUUUUGUUUUUCAUAAUUACAAAAUUAAAGUGGUAGUUAUCAGGUUUUCCCUGGGCGGUGGAAACGACACAUCUUUUACACUUCAUAAUGGUUCCUUCUAGAUGAAAGUGCCAAUCAGGUCAAAUUACGAAUCAAACCAUAUUCAUAUUCUCAACAAUGACCUUAUCCAUUCGAGCUAUGUUCAUGACUUGAGAUCAUUGCUUGCUAAACUUAUAAAAAACAGGAUAGCCAUGUCAAAUACCAGAAGUCCGUUCUCAAAUACAGACUGUUAAUGGAAAUGAAAGUUGGGUGCUUUUUCAAAUCUUUUACUAUUAAGGAAGGCUGGAAGGAUUUUCAGCUACUUCAUUUAUGGAGAAAAUUAAUGCUUAGAACUUCAAUGGUAUCAGUCCAUCAAAUAGUUGAAUGAUUAAAACCCAAGUAGAUGCCUUUGAAAUACAUUAAAAUCAUGUAUCAGCUGCUUGCUUAAUAUGCUCUGCUCUUGUCUUCUUGAUACAAUUGACUGGCCGGCCCUUGAUUACGGACUUGGACUUAGCCUCCUUUUUUCUU